UGGGCACUCUAAGGAGACUGCCGGUGACAAACCGGAGGAAGGUGGGGAUGACGUCAAGUCAUCAUCGGCCCUUACGGCCGUGGGCUACACACGUGCUACAAUGGUCGGUAACAAAGGGUUGCCAAGCCGCGAGGUGGAGCUAAUCCCAUAAAACCGAUCGUAGUCCGGAUCGCAGUCUGCAACUCGACUGCGUGAAGUCGGAAUCGCUAGUAAUCGUGAAUCAGAAUGUCACGGUGAAUACGUUCCCGGGCCUU
rnacentral:rRNA from 1 species